GAUGAACGUUGGCGGUGUGCCUAAUACAUGCAAGUCGAACGGUAUCAUCCUUUCGGGGGUGAGAGAGUGGCGAACUGGUGAGUAACACGUAGGUUAUCUACCCUCAAGACGGGGACAACCCAGGGAAACUUGGGCUAAUACCGGAUGUGAGCAACUUUUAGUUGUUUGAAAGGUGGCGUAAGCUGUCGCUUGGGGAUGAGCCUGCGUCCUAUUAGUUAGUUGGUGAGGUAACGGCUCACCUAGGCAAUGAUAGGUAGGCGGCCUUAACGGGUGGUCGCCCACACUGGGAUUGAGAUACGGCCCAGACUCCUACGGGAGGCAGCAGUCGAGAAUAGUCUACAAUGGUCGGAAGACUGAUAGUGCGACGCCGCGUGAACGAUGAAUCCCUUCGGGGUGUAAAGUUCUUUUAUAUGUGAGCAGUGCUUCUUAUAUUAACAGUAUGGGGAGAGAGAUAUUAGCAUAUGAAUAAGCAACGGCUAACUCCGUGCCAGCAGCCGCGGU
rnacentral:rRNA from 1 species